GACGAACGCUGGCGGUGUGCUUAACACAUGCAAGUCGAACGGUAAGGCCCUUUCGGGGGUACACGAGUGGCGAACGGGUGAGUAACACGUGAGUAACCUGCCCUCAUCUCUGGGAUAACAGUCGGAAACGGUUGCUAAUACUGGAUAUGAGCUUGCAAGGCAUCUUGUGGGUUGGAAAGAUUUUUUUUGGUUGGGGAUGGACUCGCGGCCUAUCAGCUUGUUGGUGAGGUAGUGGCUCACCAAGGCUUCGACGGGUAGCCGGCCUGAGAGGGCGACCGGCCACAUUGGGACUGAGAUACGGCCCAAACUCCUACGGGAGGCAGCAGUGGGGAAUAUUGCACAAUGGACGGAAGUCUGAUGCAGCAACGCCGCGUGCGGGAUGACGGCCUUCGGGUUGUAAACCGCUUUCAAUUGUGACGAAGCUUUUUUGUGACGGUAGCAGUAGAAGAAGCACCGGCUAACUACGUG
rnacentral:rRNA from 1 species